CUUGGUAAUAUGUUGCCACAGUAUUCUUUGCUUGUGAAACAAUUGAUUUCAGACUGGGCCAAUUUGGAUAGCUCAGAUUUUCUUACCAAGGUUAUAGAAAAUGAAAAUGCAGGUUGUUUUGAAUUAAGAAAAGAUUUAGGAAAGUAAGGUUGCUUAUUAUGCUCAGGGAUUGCAACAUAUUAUGUCCAGCUACACAGGCUGAGAGCGAGGAUGGGAUGGAGCACAUAAAGCCCGUGGAAGGGGUGGUCAAAGAGGGGCAAGGGGAUGGAGACAGGGAAAUCAGGGUUAUAGGGGUAACCAAGGAGGAAUAGACAGGAACACUUGUUUCAACUGUGGCCAAUAUGGCCACUGGAGGAAUGAGUGUCCACACCCCAGGAAACCCCACACACCCCAACAACCCCACCUUUCUCAAAAUAUGCCCUGUAGGCAAGAACAACACCAGACCCACUCCCAACACCACUGGCCAGCAUAUCGCUUAGUUCAGGACUUUAGAGCCCUGAAUAGUUUAAUUGUGCCCAUUUCACCCAUUGUCCCUGAUGUGACAUCCCUCAUUACAGCCAUUCCACAUGAUGCCACUUGCUUCACUGUCAUUGAUUUAAGUAAUGCAUUUUUUCUAUACCUAUUGAUCAAGAGACACAGCUACUUAUGGUUUUUAUUUUUUGAAGGCUGCCAGUUUACCUGGACACGCUUACCCAAGGCUAUGUGGAUUCCCCAGCUGUUUAUUCGUUGGUACUCCAACAUACUCUAAAAAAACAUGGACCACCGGUCAUGGUUCCGUCCUUUUUGCAAAAUGUUGAUGAUUUGUUGUUAUGUAGCCCUAGCUAUGAGGCAAGCACUGUGGAUACUGUCAGCAACUGUAGGUCACAAGGUUGUUAAACACAAAAUGCAAUUGUGUAAAUCAAAGGUUGAAUACUUA